GACGAACGCUGGCGGCGUGCCUAAUACAUGCAAGUCGAACGCACAGUUUAUACCGUAGCUUGCUACACCAUAGACUGUGAGUUGCGAACGGGUGAGUAACGCGUAGGUAACCUGCCUGGUAGCGGGGGAUAACUAUUGGAAACGAUAGCUAAUACCGCAUAAUAUUAAUUAUUGCAUGAUAAUUAAUUGAAAGGUGCAAUUGCACCACUACCAGAUGGACCUGCGUUGUAUUAGCUAGUAGGUGAGGUAACGGCUCACCUAGGCGACGAUACAUAGCCGACCUGAGAGGGUGAUCGGCCACACUGGGACUGAGACACGGCCCAGACUCCUACGGGAGGCAGCAGUAGGGAAUCUUCGGCAAUGGACGAAAGGCUGACCGAGCAACGCCGCGUGAGUGAAGAAGGUUUUCGGAUCGUAAAGCUCUGUUGUAAGGGAAGAACGGGUGUGAGAGUGGAAAGUUCACACUGUGACGGUAGCUGACCAGAAAGGGACGGCUAACUACGUG
rnacentral:rRNA from 1 species